rnacentral:rRNA from 1 species
UACAGAGGGUGCAACAGUUGCUCGGAAUUAUUGGGCGUAAAGCGCACGUAGGCGGUUCGUUAAGUCAGAUGUGAAAGCCCUGGGCUCAACCCAGGAAGUGCAUUUGAAACUGGCGAGCUUGAGUAUGGAAGAGGGUCGCGGAAUUCCCGGUGUAGAGGGUGAAAUUCGAUAGAUAUCGGGAGGAACACCAGUGGCGAAGGCGGCGACCUGGGCCAAUACUGACGCUGAGGUGCGAAAGCGUGGGGAGCAAACAGG